UGGGGAAUUUUGGACAAUGGGCGCAAGCCUGAUCCAGCCAUGCCGCGUGCGGGAAGAAGGCCUUCGGGUUGUAAACCGCUUUUGUCAGGGAAGAAAUCUUCUGAGUUAAUACCUCGGGAGGAUGACGGUACCUGAAGAAUAAGCACCGGCUAACUACGUGCCAGCAGNCGCGGUAAUACGUAGGGUGCAAGCGUUAAUCGGAAUUACUGGGCGUAAAGCGUGCGCAGGCGGUUUUGUAAGACAGAGGUGAAAUCCCCGGGCUCAACCUGGGAACUGCCUUUGUGACUGCAAGGCUUGAGUGCGGCAGAGGGGGGAUGGAAUUCCGCGUGUAGCAGUGAAAUGCGUAGAUAUGCGGAGGAACACCGAUGCGAAGGCAAUCCCCUGGGCCUGCACUGACNGCUCAUGCACGAAAGCGUGGGGAGCAAACAGGNUUAGGAUACCCUGGUAGUCCACGCCCUAAACGAUGUCAACUGGUUGUGGGAAGGUU
rnacentral:rRNA from 1 species